GCUAUAUUAACCAAGAUGAAUAUGUAUGUAUAAUAUAUUUAUUUGCACUUUUGAGCACUUUUUUGGUGCGAUUUACCACUUUUCUUAUUCUAUAUUUCAGUUCACUAAAAGCAGGUAUUGGGAAAUCCUGCCGGUUCACUGCUGCCUCAAAUUUUGUUAUAUAGAGAGUGCCUAACCCAUUCUUUAUUCGAUUAACCCUAUGCGGCACAACUCCAAACCUGUAAGUAAUGGACCAUGAAUCUAGUGCCUGCCUCGAAUUUGACCACCCACUCCAGAAAAGUACUGAACAUGUCAAAGUACGCACACGAGAUGGAACAACCCAUCGGCAAACACAGAUUGACUAAAUACUGCCCUGAUGACAGUCGAGGUGAAUGGGCAAUAACUGAAUAGCCACUUCCACGUCCACAUUGGCCAUCAACGCCCCACUUGCCCGCACACUGAACCAACUCAACCGCUUGGUCGAAUGAUGCAUACGACACCGCGGAAUGCAAAAGGCCCUCAACCAAUUCCCAAAAGUUUUGGGUAUCUUACGAUAGCGGCACCUUUUCUCCUCUUCCUCCUUCUUGCCAUUUUUUUAUCCUCUUCCUUCAUGUCCAAGUAUUUGUCCAGAGGAAGAAGAGAAAAGAUCUCCAGAAAUUUCCCCUUCCAUGUCCUCUCCCUUAGCUCUGGUUGGCCGAAGCCAACUAAAGCCACUGUACCCCGGGCAGAACUGCUACUAGCAACCAGAACCGCCACUGCCCACACACCCCUGCCUAGGUGCCCAAACCUGCCCGAAGCUAACGCUUCUACCCAAACCCCUGCUCCAUUCUAGAAAGGACUUUAGACACUCUAAAAGAUCCUCAGAAGGCUUAACAGAAGAUGACUCACCAUUGGAACCUCUUGCUGCUGAAGACCGUGAGGCAGUAUCCAGCCCACCUCCAUUCAAGCCCAGGCGCGAUGGUGCCUCCAGCCGUAGAUCCACAUCAUGAGGUCUUACCCGGACCGUAGGCGACCGUCUUGGUGACCUGGAAUGAGGAAAGACUCUGGGUAGGCCGUCCGACUGAGUCCUGGCCUCCUGACCACUAUGGCUGUGCCCGUCCCCACCAUCAGUUCCUCAUAGCCACCAUGAGAACUCCUGCCAGGUGAGCCGAAUCUAACAGGGGAUCCCAAAUUAUGCUCCCAGGUAGCUACACUAGGGGACCUACCCACUGUGAUAGCCCGCUUGGUCGCUAUGGCAACUCAUUUAUAGUGAAUUUAUAGUGUGACCCCUGUCACCCAGCACCCCCGGGGGCCUGAUGUGAUAGUCCUGAGUGUGGCGCUCCAUGCCCACCCGUGAUGGGGGUCUGUCCCACUGCCUGCUCCAUGCUCUAAUGGGUAUGGAUACCUGCCUACCCAAUUCCCAACUCAGGUCCCCAUCCCUGGGCUCUCUCCUUGGGUCACCUCUACCCACGCUAGGCGACCUGGACGCCGACCUGUGAGGUGACCCUGGGGACAAACUUCUAUCCCAUGACCUGCCUUUCCACCACCCGCUUGCUGCCCCGUGACUUGCGACCUAUAGGGAUGGAGGACGACUCACGAAGUGUGUCACCAGCUGGAACCACAUGUCCAACAGUGCUCCCAGCGCCUCCAUUGCCUGCUGCAGAGCCUGCUGUGGCUGUCCCUGCCUUUCUCCCUCCAGCCACUCACCUAGAAUCAUGCUCAUUCCUGUGAAUGCAGGCUGAACACGACAUCCUGCCUCCAUGCUCACCUGUUCGUGGCCCAAACGUUCACCUCCAGCCGAAUCCAGUUCAUUGCCAGACCGUUCCCCUCCUUCGCAGCCCGAAUGUGCAGUCUCAGGAAGACAGCCAGACCAUGUGGCAACACGGCAACACCGGCCAUGACCUCCCAAACUCCCGCAGCUCACCGUAGUCUCGGGCCUUGGAUUCAGGAACUGACUCAACCUCUUCCUCCUGCUGGAGCCCGCACUGGGGCUAAGACUUUGC